AUGACUUUGUCCCUGUACUUACUGCCCUUACUAGCAGUCCUCCAAGGUGUCCGAUCUGAGGUCCAGUUAUUGGAGUCUGGAGGGGAUGUGAGAAGACCUGGGGAGUCCCUCCGUCUCUCCUGCCAAGCCUCUGGAUUCACGUUCAGCAGUUACUGGAUGACCUGGCUAAGUCAGGCUCCUGUGAAAGGACUGGAAUGGGUAGCCCGCAUAAGUACAGGUUCAUCUAAUACUUACUACCCAGACAAAGUCAAGGGAUGCUUCACCAUCUCCAGGGAUGAUUCCCGGAGCCAGUUGCAUCUUCAAAUGAACAAUCUCAAACCGGCGGACACAGCUGUCUAUUAUUGUGUGGCAGACACAUUGAGAGGAAGUGAAUCUGAAGCCAGACAAAAACUUCCUCAAUCUUUGAGUACCUGUCAAAUUUAG